CGAUGAAGCCUUUCGGGGUGGAUUAGUGGCGAACGGGUGAGUAACACGUGGGCAAUCUGCCCUUCACUCUGGGACAAGCCCUGGAAACGGGGUCUAAUACCGGAUAACACUCUGUCCUGCAUGGGACGGGGUUAAAAGCUCCGGCGGUGAAGGAUGAGCCCGCGGCCUAUCAGCUUGUUGGUGGGGUAAUGGCCUACCAAGGCGACGACGGGUAGCCGGCCUGAGAGGGCGACCGGCCACACUGGGACUGAGACACGGCCCAGACUCCUACGGGAGGCAGCAGUGGGGAAUAUUGCACAAUGGGCGAAAGCCUGAUGCAGCGACGCCGCGUGAGGGAUGACGGCCUUCGGGUUGUAAACCUCUUUCAGCAGGGAAGAAGCGAAAGUGACGGUACCUGCAGAAGAAGCGCCGGCUAACUACGUGCCAGCAGCCGCGGUAAUACGUAGGGCGCAAGCGUUGUCCGGAAUUAUUGGGCGUAAAGAGCUCGUAGGCGGCUUGUCACGUCGGAUGUGAAAGCCCGGGGCUUAACCCCGGGUCUGCAUUCGAUACGGGCUAGCUAGAGUGUGGUAGGGGAGAUCGGAAUUCCUGGUGUAGCGGUGAAAUGCGCAGAUAUCAGGAGGAACACCGGUGGCGAAGGCGGAUCUCUGGGCCAUUACUGACGCUGAGGAGCGAAAGCGUGGGGAGCGAACAGGAUUAGAUACCCUGGUAGUCCACGCCGUAAACGUUGGGAACUAGGUGUUGGCGACAUUCCACGUCGUCGGUGCCGCAGCUAACGCAUUAAGUUCCCCGCCUGGGGGAGUAC
rnacentral:rRNA from 1 species